CCUAUCAACUUUCGAUGGACUUUCUGCGCCUACUAUGGUGACCACGGGUAACGGGGAAUCAGGGUUCGAUUCCA
rnacentral:rRNA from 1 species